AUGCUUUGCAGGUGCCAAAGGCAGCCUGGGGGCAGUUCUCUGCUUUUCAGUAAGAGGCACCUUGUUACACCUCAUCCCCAUCCCAUCAGCUUCAUUAAUUCAGGCAGCCCCUCCAAGCUUGGCUUUCAAAAUGACUCUUGUAUUGUUCGGCUCUGGGCUGAUGCUGCUGAAAUGCCACUGUGCAGGAACACCAGCUUGGUGCUGGCCUGGGGAAAGAGCUGCUGUGUCCUUUUUUGCCUGGGGAAACAGCGAGGGGUCAUGGAGGAGGCAUGGAGAGAGGCCAGGAGCUCUGCCACCAACCUGCUGCCCAGCAGGUCUUUCCCCUUUUUUUCCCAGAUGUCACGUCCCAUUCUAUGAUUGCCUCCAGUUUUGAAACAAAGCAAAUAGGCAGCUAGUGCGCAGGUAUUAAGCAGCCAGCCUGUCUCUUGAAAAGGCUGAUUCAGGUACAGCGUUUGAUAAUGCUCAUGUGCGGGAAGGGUGUGGGUGAUAAUCUCAGAGAAGAAAACAAACUGGACAGAGUGCACUCCAUCAUGCUGACAAAGGGCUGAAUUGUACAUGCUGGGGUGCAAAUAGGAUUGUUUGCAUAUUCAGCUGGCUCUUCUCUUUUCCCCAUCUCUGAACAUAGGUGGUGCCUGAGCUCCUUGGGGAGCUGUUUGAGUUGGGGGGACAAAUGUGUCUGGGGGAGGGGAGUAAAGGAGCAUGUGGAGGAGGAGUGAGAGCAGAGAGGGUGCUGAUUUCAGGGGCUACAAUAGAAAGGGCCUAGCUGGUGAGGAAAAUGCUCCGGGGAUAGGGUUUAUCUGACUGAAUAUAGGAAGCUACAGAUAAGCUUGUCUGACAGGCUUCCUUUUAUAUCCCUGACAUGCAGUUUAUCCCACUCUGAACUAGACAUUGGCUUUCCAGAGCAAAAUAAACGUCCAAGGUCUGAUUUCCUUUUUUCCCCUCUUUCUUUCUUUUUCUCAGCUGUCAAGGAAUAAAGCUGAACUGAGGGGGAAAGGAGCGUUUAUUCCCAGUGGGCAAAAAGAGGAAGGCUGAAAUGAAGGAUUUUCUCCAAUGAGCAGCAAACCCCACCUCUGAAUUUCCAGUAAAUCUAUUGCGAGUACAAAGCAAACCAAUCAAAAAACGUCAAGGUGUAUUUACUGUCCUAUUAACCUGGUGCCCCAUUCCCUCUCUGGCACACGCUGG
rnacentral:lncRNA from 12 species